rnacentral:rRNA from 1 species
AACGAACGCUGGCGGCAUGCCUAACACAUGCAAGUCGAACGAUCCCUUCGGGGAUAGUGGCGCACGGGUGCGUAACGCGUGGGAACCUGCCCUUAGGUUCGGAAUAACUCAGAGAAAUUUGAGCUAAUACCGGAUAAUGUCCUCUGACCAAAGAUUUGUCGCCUUUGGAUGGGCCCGCGUUGGUUUAGCUAGUCGGUGUGGUAAAGGCCUACCAAGGCGACGAUCCAUAGCUGGUCUGAGAGGAUGAUCAGCCACACUGGGACUGAGACACGGCCCAGACUCCUACGCGAGGCAGCAGUGGGGAAUAUUGGACAAUGGGCGAAAGCCUGAUGCAGCAAUGGCGCGUGAGUGAUGAAGGCCUUAGGGUUGUGAAGCUCUUUUACCCGGGAUGAUAAUGACAGUACCGGGAGAAUAAGCCCCGGCUAACUCCGUG